rnacentral:rRNA from 1 species
AAUGAACGCUGGCGGCGUGGUUAAGACAUGCAAGUCGAACGGUUUUCAGGUGUAGCAAUACAUUUGAAGAGCAGUGGCGAACGGGUGCGUAACACGUGAACAAUCUACCUUUAGUGUGGAAUAGCUCGGCGAAAGCCGGAUUAAUACCGCAUGUGGUUGCCUCUCGCAUGAGAGACAUACUAAAGUCAGGGACCGCAAGGCCUGACGCUAUUAGGAGGAGUCGCGGCCUAUCAGCUAGUUGGCGAGGUAACGGCUCACCCAAGGCUAAGACGGGUAGCUGAUCUGAGAGGAUGGAUCAG